UAUUUUUUGCAGGAAAAAGAUGCUGUAAGGCUAAAGGGAAUUCGGUGAAAAUCCGAAGCUGUAUCCGCAACUGUAAGUGUUAAUUUUUAAGUUGAUGCCACUGUCAAUUUGAUGGGAAGGUACUUAAAAUAAAAGGCACAAGCCAGGAGACCUGUCUUUUUCUGAUCGUAACA
rnacentral:ncRNA from 2 species